GCCUCAUCCAUCCAUCCAACUUGAGAGCAUCAAAUGGCUUCUAGUACUUGUAAAUCUAAUUUUCAUUUGUUUUGGAGUCAAACUGAGUGCACAUCAUCAAUUGUAUACGCUGCAGUUUACCAGAUUAAUAAAGUAAAAAUGCCAAGAAUUAAGGAUAUAUCGGAACAUUUGGCCUAGUCUAUAUCAGAAUAUGUGAAGAGUUCUGACAAUGAUCAAGUUGAUCAGUAAAUGCAAGAGUGCACCGUCAGAAAGAUAUUUGGGUAUUUUCCUUUGUUUUCGUUGGCGUUUGCAAAUUACCUAUAGUAAGGAAAUCAAGAGCUCAGUAGGUCAAAGGCUGAAGGGAAGAAAAGAAUGAAGGCAAUUGGCAAGGUAGAUGUACCUCAAGAAGCUUUCAUGGCUAUAUUGAAACUUGAAAAGGAGGUGUUGUAAUGAAUAAUAUAUUACUUCUUAACUCGUAAUGUUACUUCCUGUUAAUGCAAUAUGAAACUUAGCCAUGAAAAUAAACAAGUUUGUGCCCGUUUAUUUUGAAUCAUCUGUUUAUUUUCCCUUUGAGGCUGUUAUGUUGC